rnacentral:lncRNA from 1 species
CCCUCCUCUCUUCCUCCCUCCCUCCUAGAGUAGAGCCCUCCUCUCUUCCUCCCUCCCUCCUAGAGGAGAGCCCUCCUUUCUUCCUCCCUCCCUCCUAGAGUAGAGCCCUAGUGUUUAUACUGAGGUAUCCUCUUCUAUUUCCAGUUGAAUCAAAACCAGACCAUCUAGUAGUCACACCUGUAGGCUGCCUCUCUCUCCCUGUGGCAUAGCUCUCUCCCUCUCCCUGUGGCAUAGCUCUCUCCCUGUGGCAUAGCUAUUUCCCUGUGGCAUAGCUCUCUCCCUGUGGCAUAGCUCACUCCCUGUGGCAUAGCUCUCUCUCUCACUCCCUGUGGCACAGCUAGGUCUCUCUCCCUCUCCCUGUGGCACAGCUAGGUCUCUCUCUCCCUCUCCCUGUGGCACAGCUAGGUCUCUCUCUCCCUCUCCCUGUGGCACAGCUAGGUCUCUCUCUCCCUCUCCCUGUGGCACAGCUAGGUCUCUCUCUCCCUGUGGCACAGCUAGGUCUCUCUCUCCCUCUCCCUGUGGCACAGCUAGGUCUCUCUCUCCCUCUCCCUGUGGCACAGCUAGGUCUCUCUCUCCCUCUCCCUGUGGCACAGCUAGG